rnacentral:rRNA from 1 species
UCUGGCGGCGAUAGCGCGGUGGUCCCACCUGACCCCAUGCCGAACUCAGAAGUGAAACGCCGUAGCGCCGAUGGUAGUGUGGGGUCUCCCCAUGCGAGAGUAGGGAACUGCCAGAC